GACGAACGCUGGCGGCGUGCCUAAUACAUGCAAGUUGAGCGCUGAAGGUUGGUACUUGUACCAACUGGAUGAGCAGCGAACGGGUGAGUAACGCGUGGGGAAUCUGCCUUUGAGCGGGGGCCAACAUUUGGAAACGAAUGCUAAUACCGCAUAAAACCUUUAAACACAGUUUUUAGGUUUGAAAGAUGCAUUUGCAUCAUUCAAAGAUGAUCCCGCGUUGUAUUAGCUAGUUGGUGAGGUAAAGGCUCACCAAGGCGAUGAUACAUAGCCAACCUGAGAGGGUGAUCGGCCACAUUGGGACUGAGACACGGCCCAAACUCCUACGGGAGGCAGCAGUAGGGAAUCUUCGGCAAUGGACGAAAGUCUGACCGAGCAACGCCGCGUGAGUGAAGAAGGUUUUCGGAUCGUAAAACUCUGUUGGUAGAGAAGAACGUUGGUGAGAGUGGAAAGCUCAUCAAGUGACGGUAACUACCCAGAAAGGGACGGCUAACUACGUG
rnacentral:rRNA from 1 species